rnacentral:rRNA from 1 species
UACGUAGGGGGCUAGCGUUGUUCGGAAUUACUGGGCGUAAAGCGCGUGUAGGCUGUUUUGCAAGUCGGAUGUGAAAGCCCUGGGCUCAACCUAGGAAGUGCACUCGAAACUGCAGAACUGGAGUCCUGGAGAGGAAGGCGGAAUUCUCGGUGUAGAGGUGAAAUUCGUAGAUAUCGAGAGGAACACCGGUGGCGAAGGCGGCCUUCUGGACAGUGACUGACGCUGAGACGCGAAAGCGUGGGGAGCAAACAGG